UUGAGGAAUAUUGGUCAAUGGGCGCAAGCCUGAACCAGCCAUGCCGCGUGCAGGAAGACGGUCCUAUGGAUUGUAAACUGCUUUUAUUUGGGAAUAAACCUCCUUACGUGUAGGGAGCUGAAGGUACCAAAUGAAUAAGCACCGGCUAACUCCGUGCCAGCAGCCGCGGUAAUACGGAGGGUGCAAGCGUUAUCCGGAAUCAUUGGGUUUAAAGGGUCCGCAGGCGGUCAUAUAAGUCAGUGGUGAAAGCCUACAGCUCAACUGUAGAACUGCCAUUGAUACUGUAUGACUUGAAUUCGAUCGAAGUGGGCGGAAUGUGACAUGUAGCGGUGAAAUGCUUAGAUAUGUCACAGAACACCGAUAGCGAAGGCAGCUCACUAGGUCUGGAUUGACGCUCAGGGACGAAAGCGUGGGGAGCAAACAGGAUUAGAAACCCCGGUAGUCC
rnacentral:rRNA from 1 species